rnacentral:rRNA from 1 species
GAUGAACGCUGGCGGCGUGCCUAAUACAUGCAAGUCGAGCGGAAAGACCCGGCGCUUGCUCCUCUCUCGUUUGCGGAACGCGGGUGUGUCACAUGUGUAUACCCCCCUUAUAUUUCUGAUAUCUCCUCGGAACACGGGCUCAUAUCGCAUAUAAUCUCCUGCUCCGUAGGGUUCAUUAGUAAAAUACGGCUUUGGUGGCUCUUCUCGCUGCUUCCGCGCUGCAUUAGCUAGUAGUGAAGGUCACGGGUUACCACGGCGAGGAUGCGUGGCCGAACGCAGAGGGUGAUCGGCCACAUGGGAAGUGAGACACGGUCCAGGCUCCUAAGGGAGGCAGCAGUAGGGAAUCUUCCGCAGUGGGCGAAAGCCUGACGGAGCAACGCCGCGUGAGUGAUGACGGUCUUCGGAUCGUAAAACUCUGUUAUUAGGGAAGAACAAAUGUGUAAGGAACUAUGCACGUCUUGACGGUACCUAAUCAGAAAGCCACGGCUAACUACGUG